rnacentral:rRNA from 1 species
UACGGAGGGUGCAAGCGUUAUCCGGAUUCACUGGGUUUAAAGGGUGCGUAGGCGGGUAAGUAAGUCCGUGGUGAAAUCUCUGAGCUUAACUCAGAAACUGCCGUGGAUACUAUUUGCCUUGAAUAUUGUGGAGGUGAGCGGAAUAUGUCAUGUAGCGGUGAAAUGCUUAGAUAUGACACAGAACACCAAUUGCGAAGGCAGCUCACUACACAAUCAUUGACGCUGAGGCACGAAAGCGUGGGGAUCAAACAGG